UAGAGUUUGAUCCUGGCUCAGAUUGAACGCUGGCGGCAGGCCUAACACAUGCAAGUCGAGCGGCAGCACGGGGAGCUUGCUCCCUGGUGGCGAGCGGCGGACGGGUGAGUAAUGCAUAGGAAUCUGCCCGGUAGUGGGGGAUAACCUGGGGAAACCCAGGCUAAUACCGCAUACGUCCUACGGGAGAAAGCAGGGGCUCUUCGGACCUUGCGCUAUCGGAUGAGCCUAUGUCGGAUUAGCUGGUUGGUGAGGUAAUGGCUCACCAAGGCGACGAUCCGUAGCUGGUCUGAGAGGAUGAUCAGCCACAUCGGGACUGAGACACGGCCCGAACUCCUACGGGAGGCAGCAGUGGGGAAUAUUGGACAAUGGGGGCAACCCUGAUCCAGCCAUGCCGCGUGUGUGAAGAAGGCCCUCGGGUUGUAAAGCACUUUCAGUGGGGAAGAACGCCUGACGGUUAAUACCCUCAGGAAG
rnacentral:rRNA from 1 species